CCUACGGGUGGCUGCAGUGGGGAAUAUUGCACAAUGGGCGCAAGCCUGAUGCAGCCAUGCCGCGUGUGUGGAGAAGGCCUUCGGGUUGUAAAGCACUUUCAGCGGGGAGGAAGGCGGUGAGGUUAAUAACCUCAUCGAUUGACGUUACCCGCAGAAGAAGCACCGGCUAACUCCGUGCCAGCAGCCGCGGUAAUACGGAGGGUGCAAGCGUUAAUCGGAAUUACUGGGCGUAAAGCGCACGCAGGCGGUCUGUCAAGUCGGAUGUGAAAUCCCCGGGCUCAACCUGGGAACUGCAUUCGAAACUGGCAGGCUAGAGUCUUGUAGAGGGGGGUAGAAUUCCAGGUGUAGCGGUGAAAAGCGUAGAGAUCUGGAGGAAUACCGGUGGCGAAGGCGGCCCCCUGGACAAAGACUGACGCUCAGGUGCGAAAGCGUGGGGAGCAAACAGGAUUAGAUACCCCUGUAGUC
rnacentral:rRNA from 1 species